GUACGAGUUCAGUGGAGGAGACCGCAAGUUGAGUGGAGGAGGCGGCGGUGGGGCCCCGGACCAGGUGCCUCCAUGGCAGGCUCUGAAGAGCUGGGGCUCCGGGAAGACACGCUGAGGGUCCUAGCUGCCUUCCUUAGGCGUGGUGAGGCUGCCGGGUCUCCUGUUCCAACUCCACCUAGGCCCAGCUACUCCAGACUUCUAUGCUUUGGUGGCCCAGCGGCUGGAA
rnacentral:circRNA from 1 species